UACGAAGGGAGCUAGCGUUUUUCGGAAUUACUGGGCGUAAAGCGCAUGUAGGCGGCUAAUUAAGUUGGAAGUGAAAUCCCAGGGCUUAACCCUGGAGCUGCUUCCAAAACUGGUGAGCUAGAGAAUGAUAGAGGAUGGCGGAAUUCCUAGUGUAGAGGUGAAAUUCUUAGAUAUUAGGAGGAACAUCGAUGGCGAAGGCAGCCAUCUGGGUCAUUUCUGACGCUGAGAUGCGAAAGCGUGGGGAGCAAACAGG
rnacentral:rRNA from 1 species